UACGUAGGGGGCAAGCGUUGUCCGGAUUUAUUGGGCGUAAAGAGCGUGUAGGCGGCCUGACAGGUCUGCUGUGAAAACUCGAGGCUCAACCUCGAGAUGUCGGCGGAAACCGUCUGGCUAGAGUCCGGAAGAGGAGAGUGGAAUUCCUGGUGUAGCGGUGAAAUGCGCAGAUAUCAGGAAGAACACCUAUGGCGAAGGCGGAUCUCUGGGCCUUACCUGACGCUCAGGCGCGAAAGCUAGGGGAGCGAACUGG
rnacentral:rRNA from 1 species